ACUGGAUCUUCAAUGAGUUACUUUCUAUUUUUCACUCGGCAACCGGCUGCAGAUUUCACUCGGCCAACUUCGGUUACUCCUCUACACCAAACCAUGUUUCCAAACAGAGUUAUCUUUCCGUGACCCGCAAAUUAUAUUUUUUAACAAUGAGUUGAAUUCUAUAGGAGGUGUUGGAACUCCCGCAAACAGUGCCGGUGGUGCAAAGAAGAAAUGGGAAACAUUACCAGACUGCCAGACACGCCCCAUUGAUAACAAAGGUCUGCCUGCUGCCGCUGUACACAAAACACCCAACCCAGAACCAAUCGAUGCCACAAAAUUGCCGCUAGCAGAAAAAAUUCGACGACUUUCAAUGUUUUUACGAAGUGAAAAAAAAGUAAUCAAUGAAAUUAUGUUGUUUGAGAAUUCUCUGAUGAGUUGUAAAGUUGGAAUUAGACCAGAUUUUUUGAUGUGGUGUGUUCCUAGCCAGAGCUAUCGGCAUCAACAAGAAAGAAAUCAAACUGUCAUGUUUCAAGAAGGCGGUGGAACUUUAUCGUACCCUUCCUGUCACUGAAAUUUUGAACCAGGAUGAUAUGACCCCAAAAGUUAUCAAGGAGAAACUGGAGAAUUUUAACUCGACCGUUGCUAAGAUGGAGAAAGAAACAAUUGCAGAGUUACCCCCACCAUCUAUUUUGAAACAGAUCCAAGAUAUUCUAACCAAUCCUAAAUAUGCUUCAACCAAUUCAGUCAGCAAAAUGGAGUUGGCGGCCUCUGUGGCUAAAUGUCGAGUCCGUUGUCGAUAUGAUGUAGAGAGUUGUAAAGCUGAAUCAGGGAAAGUUUAUCAUAAGGGAAUGUACUUUAUUGACAACAUACUACAAGGUGCAGGUGUUUCAGUUUCCAAAAAAACUGCUAAGUCAUUGUGUUAUAAUAUGGUGGUUGAACGACUGACCACCAUGAAUGUUGAACAUGGCAACAUCUUAGAUGGUGUCGAACAGUCUGUCAUAACAGAAGCAGAAGCACAGGUUCAGAGCCAAGGAUAUCGUUGUCUUUGAGGACGUCAGUUGGAUAGUAGAUCGUAAAGUUCAAGGUUUCUAUAUUUUACAACAUUCAUGUUUUGUCAACAAUAUGUUGUUGGAAUGGGAGUUUUUUGACAAUGAUGAUCGUGUAUUCAGAUGUCAGAUGAAGAUACAGAAGGAAGAUGUUGGAACCGAACCUGCAGUGUCUCUUAGUAAGAUAGGCUCUAGAAAUUUUGCAGCAGCUGAUAUCUUGUUUAAGCUCUACGAAACACAACCAGUCAUAGAGGUUUCUGCUUACACUAAACCUGAUCAAGCGAUAGAAUCUGUCAGUUUUGAUACGUUGCUUAAAGAAGCGGAGGUGUUGAAGAAAGCUGCCGAGGAUGCAGGAGAAAACGUUACAGCUACUACAGCUGAGGGAACUGAUUCAGAAACUGAGACCAGUGACACAGAUGUUGAAAUGAAGGAAGAAGUAACAGAUUCACAGGCUAAGAAGAAAUAUCCUAGAAAACCACAUUACCGUCAUGCUGAUAGAUUUAUUUUAAAAGCUGCCCAGGCACGACUAGACGAAUUCAUAAAAGUUAAAAUGCUAAAAGAUCUACUGUUUGGACCUGCUUUCACUCAUCAUAUCACACGCCAGAUUAACGGCUUACUGUAUAACCUCCCCGUUCCAGUUCGCUUUAUAAAUCAUUCCACUAGAAAUCAGAUGUACACCAUUGUAACGCAAAGUAUGUCACCGAUCAAAAUUGUCGCAUUUCUCAAAGCCAACGGUGGACAGUCUGGUCACUUUCGUUUAGUCGACAAAUCAGAACUUCCGACACAUAAGGACAUUUUACCAGAACUUAAAAGUAGGGAAAUUUUAACUAAGAUCAAAUCCAAAUUUUAGUAGAAAUUUCAAUUUUGAUUGGCUAAGCACUAAAACCAAUCAAAUUGUUGGCUUUUUUUUGCUAAUAAAUAUAAGUGCUAGUCUAA